rnacentral:misc_RNA from 1 species
AUUUAAAACAGCCUAUAUACGUUUGCACAAAUACAAAAUAAAAGAAUGCAAUGCCAAAAUGCAUGAAAGAAAUCAAAAGUAAUAGGCCUACAAAAACAACUCAAACAGGGAAAAGAGUACUUUGAUGCAAGGGUGUUUCAGCUCCAUGAAAAACAUGUGUGACCGAACUGGCCAAUGCUGGGAUGAAGGGGCUCAUCAGCAUACUGAACACCCUUUUUUAGGAUUUAAAGGCUUACCAAG